AACAAUUUAACAAUGAGAUUGCAAGAAUACAAUGAAUAUGUGGGUAUGUAUAUUAUAAAAGCAAUGUAAAUGGUUCACUCUUGGACAAAAGUCGGAAAGAUUAUUCGAAAGAGAAUAUUUGCUUUAAUGGUGUAAUCAAUAUCCAAAAUGAAGAAUUAAAAGAAAAAAAAAUUGAGCAAAAAUAAGAAAAGUAAAAGGAAAAGUAUAAU
rnacentral:lncRNA from 1 species